rnacentral:rRNA from 1 species
UGGGGGAUAUUGCACAAUGGGCGAAAGCCUGAUGCAGCGACGCCGCGUGGGGGAUGAAGGCCUUCGGGUUGUAAACUUCUUUUGCUCUGAACAAGGCAUGCCUUUGGGGUGUGUUGAGUGUAGGGGUUGAUUAGCGCCGGCUAACUACGUGCCAGCAGCCGCGGUAAUACGUAGGGCGCGAGCGUUGUCCGGAAUUAUUGGGCGUAAAGGGCUUGUAGGUGGCUGGUUGCGUCUGUCGUGAAAGCUCAUGGCUUAACUGUGGGUUUGCGGUGGGUACGGGCUGGCUUGAGUGCAGUAGGGGAGACUGGAAUUCAUGGUGUAGCGGUGGAAUGCGCAGAUAUCAGGAGGAAUACCGGUGGCGAAGGCGGGUCUCUGGGCUGUUACUGACGCUGAGGAGCUAAAGCGUGGGGAGCGAACAGG